UCUUAGGUCAUGAGCUGCCUCAAGCCUGCAAAUGAAGCAUACUGCAGAGAAGAUUAAGUGGGCUUCCAGGUGAUAGGCAAGGGCUCUGACGAGAAGGCGCCCAUGAAGCUCAAGUCAGCGGGGGAAAGCCCGACAUCGCUGCCUGAAAGGUUGUCACAGCUGAGACCUCGCACACGCCAAGGACACAUGCGGACAGCUGGGAUCCUCCUCUGCUGUGCCCACCCAAGGACAGCCAGCUCUUCUGCAGAGGCUUCUGCUGCUACUCCUUGUUGCUGAUUAACCCCUUCCUAGGCCACAAGCACGUUCACUUGUCAUGGCACCGCCUCAGCCCCUGCUGGGCAACACUGUGUGACCACUUGGACCUGAUUCCACAGCAGGCACAGGUGGUAAUUCUGAUAGCCUGGUAUAAAAUCUUUCCUUUGGGACCUUAAAUAAGACAGUAACUUACUACACUCAAUCUCUCCCUUCUAUCACAAGUGCUUCCCUUCGUGAAAAUUCAGGACCAGGCGCUGGGAAAUAGAACCACGGCACACGGCACAGAAGGUGGAUUUUGUUCGUUUUCUUUUUUUUUUUUUUUUUGCCUCCAAAACGUUCACCAGGCUCCUUUCCCUUCCACCCCCAGCAUGGAGAAGUCAGCAUAACGACUGAAGUCACAGGGCAGUGACAGCGUUUGGGAAGCCACACAGAGGGUGGACAGGGAGCCCCAAGGAUCCAGGGCAGGGAGGGGUGAGGCACCAGGCAGGAAGGGUGUGGGACGUGGAGCUGAGCAGGAGAAAGACAGCUGGUGUGGUUGGGAGAUUGAGCAAAUAGGUAAAUACACUGAGGAUUAUACGAGCCAAAAUUCUCAUUGCCAGAGAAGAUAUUUAUAAACUGAAACAGGAAGUUUAGAAAGAACCCUGAGGUGUUGGACUGGAGCUGAGGUAUCAGUAUGAACUUAUGGUUUUAUUAGUGGGUGUCUGUGUGUGUGUGUAUGUGUGUGUGUAAAUAUAUACAGACAGACAGAUAAAUACAGAAAUAGUCACAGAUGAAAAUGUGUACACACGUGUAUACCCAUAUACACAUAUAAUGUACAGUAUACAUUUCCCAUCUCUGUCCACUGAGUGAGUGAGCCUAAAAGCAAUGUACCCCACUACCAAUUAACACACUGAGUGCCUACA